rnacentral:rRNA from 1 species
UACGACGGGGGCGAGCGUUGUUCGGAAUUACUGGGCGUAAAGGGCGCGUAGGCGGCGACUCAAGUUAGAUGUGAAAGUCCUGGGCUUAACCUGGGGACUGCAUUUGAUACUGGGUUGCUUGAAUUCGGGAGAGGAUAGCGGAAUUCCCAGUGUAGAGGUGAAAUUCGUAGAUAUUGGGAAGAACACCGGUGGCGAAGGCGGCUAUCUGGACCGACAUUGACGCUGAGGCGCGAAAGCGUGGGGAGCAAACAGG